rnacentral:lncRNA from 1 species
AAACGAGUCAGGUGCUGCAGAGACGCAGGCGACACAAACAAUGGAGCCAGAAAUGUCCCUUCCAAUGUGAGCUGAUGCUCCUGCUCACGCGUUAUUCGGGGAGAGAGGGAAGACCCCACUUCACCCCUUCUUAAUGCCACACACAUCAGCUACACCUCCUUUUUCACAAUUAUCCAAGCAGACCAGCCCUCCUUAAGAUCUAUUUCCCAAUGUAUGCUUAUAAAAUCGCACUAUUAUCUCUGAUCUAAUCCUCGUGAUAGGAGCCCUCUGCCUUUAGCUAACUUCUGAUUUUCUCUCCAGCUCCUCCUGCCUGCCACCGCAUUCUCAGCUUUCUAACAAAACCAAACCAAACCCCUUCUGAUUUGCUAUGUUUACCAUCCACUGGAAUCACCAUUUGAGCUAGCCUUGAUGAGAAGAAGAGAAUGCCAGCACUAUCUUACUCUCGCAAGCAUUUGUUUUACUGUGAAACUAUUACAGAGAAGCGAUUUGGAAACUGUAUGUGAAUCCAGGGGCUGAAACGGUGCCAAGACAGACUUAAAAGAAUUCAGUGUUCAGAGCAGGAAAACCUGAAAAACUGCAAUGAGGAGUUAGCAGGAAAAGAAAAUGAAAAACUUAGGCAAACCCUUGCCAGCUCUGCAAACUACAAGGGA